rnacentral:lncRNA from 1 species
UGAAUGUUUCUUGUGUAUUCAUCAUACUAAACUUGCAUACAUUUUACAAUAGCAAAAGAUUCAUUGACAUGUCCAAAAGGAAAUCAACCUACACAAAAUACAAUGUUCCUAAUUAUAAAUAUACUAACUUCGAUUCAUAAUAUAACUAAACUUGCACACAUUUCUAAUACCGAAGCUUGCACACAUUUUGCAUACACACAGCCAUACUUGCACAGGUUUCAUGAGAGCACACAUACUGAUACGUAUAGAAUUAAAGAGUUCCUAUAAAAGAAAAGAUAAAUACAACUCACCAUCCUCCUGAAGCAAUCCUCAUCAAGGACAACAUCAAAUACUUCACAGACGUCAUGAUCUGGCACCAAUGGUACACAAGGGGCACCCGGACAACGACAAACAGGGCAAACCAUAGCUACAAAAAAUCUAAGAAACAUAGAGUAAAUAAAAAAAGACAAAUUUACAUAAUUAAACAAAAGGGAAUAAGCAGGAAGGACAACCUACAUUAACUAUAAAAAAAACACUAUCAAUCUAAUUAUAUCUCGCAAAAAUAGAAUUCACAAAUCUAAAUUGGAACCUUAAAAAGAAAUUACAUAAAAAACCUCCCUAAUCUUUAUUAAAUCUGAACAAAUUGCAUCUCUUUAAAGCUAAACUUCCAGAAAUUCCUCAAGAAGCAAAGUGUAACAAAAAAUCAUUGACACAAAAAGAGUGGACAUUAUAAAAAUCAAAAUAUAACAUUAUGAGACCACCAUCCUGCUACUGCAUGGGUUCAGGACACCAUCCUGCUACUAAAAAAUAAUCAAGAAAGGCCUACAAAAAGCACACAACCUAGAAUCUGCAUCACAAAAAACAAUAAACACUAAAAAGAAUGCAUCUUUACAGACAUACAAGACACACUAAAUUACCCAGUUCAAACCCUAAUAAACCAAAACCUAAAACCAAGCCGUAAAACCAAAUCACACUGCACAUCUAGAAACCCUAAACAUACUACACACACUACCACCAAACAGUAAGAUUCAAACAAAGACAAAAAAUACGUGAGAAAGAGGAGAUGCACCAACGACAAUCCGUCAGCAAGGAAAUCCCCCGACUGGUAAAUCCUGCAAACAACAUAGAUAAACACAGAGAAGCACAUUAGUAAGCAGAUCUAGCAAGAAAACAAAAAAGCUCAGGAAGAACUAUGAGCAGAGGAAGCAGAAGUAUCGGAUCUAGCAAGAAACUACACGGACCCUAUCUCGACGCAUGAAGCGAAGAACACAAAGAGCAAGAUAAACUAAGGCAGAGAGGGUAACCACGACAAGAAUACCUGAAAAAAAAUAUGAGGUGCAGCAAAGGCAAAUCCUACAGCAACCAAUCCCCCGAUUGGAAAGUCCUGCAAACACCAUAGAUAACCAUAGAGAAGCACCCAGGUGAGCAGAUCUAGCAAAGAAACAGAUAGCACAAGAAGAUGUAUGAUCGGAGGAAGCAUAAGGAGGAGAUCUAGCAGCAAAAUCCACGAACCCUAGCUCGGGACGGGAAGAGGAGAAGACAUAGACUGAAGUAGAGCGGGGGGGAGGGGGGGCACUGAACAACCACGAGGGGGAGAUGAUAAGACGAGAAGAG